CCGACCCAUAUUAAAUGUGAUUUAGCUAGUAACUAUCGACACAUCUUUCUCAGAACAAUGAUAGGCGCGAUACCUGGUGUUUUAUCUUUUUUCAUAUAGGACUUGUUUAGAAGAUUAGCCAACUUUUUGAUAGACAGCUGUUAACAUGGCACUUCCUUCUAGAUAAAACAUGGAGUUCGAGGAGGAAAGGUGCUCAAACUUGGCCGCCAACCAACACUGACCUGCCACUAACCUCUGUGCUGCAGUCCGUCCCAGCAGCAAACGGCCUCGUCACCCUUUAGGCUGUGGAACAGAGGGACCCUGUGGAUGUCCCCUCACCAUCCUCCACACUUCGGUGGAUCUACCAGCCGCUCCUUGUGGUGUCACUCGUCUGACAGCUAGCAAUCAACCCUUUUCCAUUCCAUGAUUCAUCUGUCUUGGUCGUUUGUCAUACAAAGCUCCCUUGUGGAUGUAAGGAAACGACUGUGAAUUCUGAGCACGCUGCACCAUCAGGAUCUUUUUCCAGAGUUACACUGCACUUCAGGUUAAAUAAUGACGUUUCCAAUAACUGGUUGAAGUGUUUUUACAUCAAUUCGUACCAUACACGAUGGCUUCCUAUGCAGAAAGCAAUGACUUGAAUCAUACUGCAGUGUUCAAUAUUUGCAAACAGAAUGUUCAAAUACACGUUAUCCUUUGUUUCCUGUGAAGUGUAUGAUUGCUGGUUCUCUUUAAUCUUGUGGAAUAAACGACAGUCAACAGACC
ensembl:lncRNA